AGAGCCCUGAAGGGACGUUGAAGACGACGACGUUGAUAGGCCGGAUGUGUAAGCGCAGCGAUGCGUUGAGCUAACCGGUACUAAUGACCCGUGAGGCUUAACCUUACAACGCCAGAGGCGUUUUG
rnacentral:rRNA from 2 species